ensembl:misc_RNA Metazoa_SRP Metazoan signal recognition particle RNA
GCCAGGCGUGGUGGCACGUGCCUGUAGUCCCAGCUAUUUGGGAGGCUGAGGUGGGAGGAUCGCUUGAGUCCAGGAGUUCUGGGCUGUAGUGUGCUAUGCAGAUUGGGAGUUGGCACUAAGUUCGGCAUCAAUAUGGUGACCUCCCAGGAGUGGGGACCACCAGGUUGCCUAAGGAAGGGUGAAUCAGCCCAGGUCAGAAACGGAGCAGAUCAAAAACUCCCGUGCUGGUCAGCAGUGGGGUCGCGCCUGUGAAUAGCCACUGCACUCCAGCCUGGUCAGCAUAGCGAGACCCCGACUCUA